GAAGGGACAAAAAUAUUGGUCGUAUCAAUCAGCAAUUCUUCAAACUAUUUCUGCCUCUGUCGCUGAAAACAGAGUUAACCCACUCCCUGGUGAGAGAAAACAAACGAUUUUCUAUUAGUUCUCAAGAUUCAAACACAUCGUGCAAAGUCUCAAGGGUAAACCGAAUGUCCUCUUCCAUUUGGCUGCUAUUUUGGUCUUCAUGUCAACAAGAUAUGAGUCACCACACCCUUCAGAAACAUGGCCAUAAUCACUAAAACAUGGCACUAUUAAUAUAGGGAUCAAAUGGUUCAUUUGCUGCUCAACCUUUACUCUCCUUCAGUCAUGCACACG